UAGGGAAUCUUCGGCAAUGGACGGAAGUCUGACCGAGCAACGCCGCGUGAGUGAAGAAGGUUUUCGGAUCGUAAAGCUCUGUUGUAAGAGAAGAACGAGUGUGAGAGUGGAAAGUUCACACUGUGACGGUAUCUUACCAGAAAGGGACGGCUAACUACGUGCCAGCAGCCGCGGUAAUACGUAGGUCCCGAGCGUUGUCCGGAUUUAUUGGGCGUAAAGCGAGCGCAGGCGGUUAGAUAAGUCUGAAGUUAAAGGCUGUGGCUUAACCAUAGUAGGCUUUGGAAACUGUUUAACUUGAGUGCAAGAGGGGAGAGUGGAAUUCCAUGUGUAGCGGUGAAAUGCGUAGAUAUAUGGAGGAACACCGGUGGCGAAAGCGGCUCUCUGGCUUGUAACUGACGCUGAGGCUCGAAAGCGUGGGGAGCAAACAGGAUUAGAUACCCUGGUAGUCCACGCCGUAAACGAUGAGUGCUAGGUGUUAGACCCUUUCCGGGGUUUAGUGCCGUAGCUAACGCAUUAAGCACUCCGCCUGGGGAGUACGACCGCAAGGU
rnacentral:rRNA from 1 species